GUGGCAGGUGUGUGUAAUGAUGAGUGAACUGGUGACCUCGAGCACCGGAGAGGGAGAGCGGGAGUAGACUUGACAAGUAACUACUACAUUAUUUCUAAAUCCUAUACCAGACACAAGAUAUGACACAAAUAAUAAUAAUAAUAUUUAAUUUGUAAAGUGCAUUUCCCACACUCAAUAUGCAUAAAUGAUAAAUGAUAUAUAACAAAUGAUAAAUGAUAUAUGCCUGUAAUAUUUUCCUUAAACAGAAGGAGUCCUGAGCCCUUGGGUUCAGAAGGUGUGUCAGGCAUGGGAUCGGAUGUUCAUCACUCUCCAACUGAUCGUCCAGGAGAUGAGGCACUGUACAGUGUAAUAACUAGAGUGGAAAGACCAGAACAGCAGGGUGAAACUGACAUCUAUGCCAAAGUGACCAAA